rnacentral:lncRNA from 1 species
GCUCCCUGGAGCCACACACACCCGGGAGGCCCCUGCCUCUCCCAGGGCCCUCCAGAAAUCUGCUGAAAGCCCCACUCCCGGCCGGUUCCCCUCCACACCCCCACCGCCAAAGUCCAGCCCACCCCCCGCCUUAGGGUACCUGGGUAUGGCCGGCGGGGACCUGGCCGUGGAGGGUACUCCCUGGCCGGCUGAGGCACACCAGUUUCGGGCUCCUUCCUUUUCUGCAGGGGCGAUGGCACUUCCCACAGCCUUUCAGGAGCCAGGGCCCUUUCCUCAGGAGUUGUCCGGCUGACAGAGUCUUGGCCCCCGGGGCAAGCUCGGCCAGCCUCGCUUUGGGAAAUUGGGCGACCCCUGUGUCGCUCCUGGCCCUCUGCCCGCAUCGGGUGCACUAGGGGAGUGGGCCAAGGGAGGGUCCUUCUCGUCCCUCGUGGUGGAUCUCUCCAGAGAGGAGGGCCCUAAGAAGCAGGAAGCGGCCAGACCAGGGCGGGGACCCUCUGGAGCAAGAGCCUGCCGGGUGGGGUACCCGUUGCCUCGCUGGCCCGCCGAGCGUGGCCACGUUCUGUCCGCAAGUCUUUUUCGGCCUUCCGUCUUGACUCGGUUUUUCCUCCUCCUGGACGGAAAGGUUCAAGUCGUGAUGGGAGGCCGUGUUUUGUCUUGUGAGGGAGGAAGCGAGACCCGGGUGGAUCCAGCUGGCAGAAGGAACAGCCUUGAUCUCCUUCCCUAGACCGGAGGUAGCAAACAGGGCCAGAGCGCCACUUACAAGGUGCAGAAGCAAGGACGUGAGCAGAAGAGUUUAAGAGCCGGGGAGACACGGCUGAAGGGAGAGGGAGCCCACGGCCAUACAACACGGGCACCCUAGACUAGGAGGAGAGUCGUGGGAAACACGGAAGAGCAAACACAGGCACAGACAACAGAAAGAUCAAGUCGGAACGUGGGGAUCUGGGAUCUGGCAAGGAAGGAUGCAGACAGAGAGAGUGUGUUCCUGAGGCAGUCUUUGGAGAUUCCAAGGCUGACAAUGUCCCGGAGCCAUGCUUUGGGCUGCAAGAAGAUCCCAUCUGGGCCCACAAGAGGAAGCGUGCUCUGUGCCAACCUGGGGUCUGAGAAGCCAGCAGGCAGAGCGAAGGGAAAGAAGAGAACGGAGAGAUGGAGACACAGACCGAGAAAGUGAGAGGGCACUUUCCAAGGAGCGACCCUGGCCCCAAAGACGCCCUCCCCCAACCCCCCCGGGACGACUCCCAGUCCAAAGGGUGGAAGGUGGAAAAGGAAGCGCCGGCAGGUCAAACGGGACAGCUCCACUGGAAGGGGAGCAGCCAUGAACUGGCCAUACCGUGUGCAGUUAAGUCCAUGCUAUCGUGGUCCCAGAGUGACUUUGCUCUUCCUGACCAUGGCACCUGAUUCUGGCAUCCAUCCGUCCUUCCGGCCGGCCAUCCACCCACGCAUCCAUCCCUUCAUCCGCCACUCCCACUGGAGCCCCUGCCACAGCCUGCCACUGCACCUGCGCCAGCCCACCGCCAGGGGGCGCGCCCGCUCCCUCAGAGCCCGGCGGACGCGACGCCUAGCAACCGUGGAGGUCAUUGUGAGUGGAGAUUCCAGGAGGAUCCACGUCACGGAGUUGUGAGGGGUGACUGAGAGAAGUCGUGGAGAGCGUGAAGCACAGGAACGGGCCCACAGGAAGUGCCCAAGAAAUGGAAGCUUUAUACCGUCAUUGUCAACGAGAAAAGCAAAAAGCCCACUUUUCCUGCAAAAAGAAAUCGUAUAUUUAUACAAAUCCUAUUGUUAUACUUAUUAUUUAUGGUCAAUUCUAAAGACAUAAAACAUUACCGUAUUGGUGUCAAACGUGAA